CCUACGGGUGGCAGCAGUGAGGAAUAUUGGUCAAUGGACGAGAGUCUGAACCAGCCAAGUAGCGUGAAGGAUGACUGCCCUAUGGGUUGUAAACUUCUUUUAUAUGUGCAUAAAAUGUUCCACGUGUGGGAUUUUGUAUGUACCAUAUGAAUAAGGAUCGGCUAAGUCCGUGCCAGCAGCCGCGGUAAUACGGAGGAUCCGAGCGUUAUCCGGAUUUAUUGGGUUUAAAGGGAGCGUAGGUGGAUUGUUAAGUCAGUUGUGAAAGUUUGCGGCUCAACCGUAAAAUUGCAGUUGAAACUGGCAGUCUUGAGUACAGUAGAGGUGGGCGGAAUUCGUGGUGUAGCGGUGAAAUGCUUAGAUAUCACGAAGAACUCCGAUUGCGAAGGCAGUUCACUGGACUGCAACUGACACUGAGGCUCGAAAGUGUGGGUAUCAAACAGGAUUAGAUACCCGUGUAGUC
rnacentral:rRNA from 1 species